CUUCAUAGAGUAAACUUGUGCGCUAAUAUUUCUUUGCUAAAUUCAAUGCUACUUUGCUUUAACUGGACACCGACGGACCCGCUUUUUAUUGUUGACCCACGCUAUAUUCACUGGAUUUUGUUUGCCUUUCUAUUUGGUUACUGCCGACCCUAUAAACACACUGCAGUCUUUGCUGCCGACGAUGCCGCAUAAUUUGACUAUAAAAUGUUGCGUACCAAACUGCGGCAAAACACGAUUGGAUGGAACAAUCUUACACAUUUUUCCCAAUCCUGAAAAAGACCCUGACCGGUUUCGGACUUGGCUCUAUGCAAUUGGUGGAGAUAUACUGGCAUUGGAAAACAAGACCAUUUUUAAGUAUCGGAGAGUAUGUCAUCAACAUUUUCAAUCUCGGUUCUACACUACAAGCAAUAGGUUAUGUGCUAACGCUGUGCCAACACUAAAUUAACCAGGAUUUCAUGUAACACGUAGGACACCUCUGCAAGAAGUUACUAAUAUAAACGUUGAAAUAAGUCAGGCAGAAAAAGCUGAAGAGAUCAAUAUGUGCAAGCCAUCUUCUAGCAAAAAAAAACCUGGCAAUGUAAAAAUCAAACAACCUGUCUUGAAACGUUCUGUUAAAUGUGGUUCUUCCGAGUCUAAUGAAAUAACUUUUCUUAAGCAAAAAAUUAAGAAGAUAGAGAGAAGUAAGGACAACUAUUUGAAAAAAUGGAAGAAAGCUCUUAAAAUAACGGAGAAUCCAUCAUUUUUAAAAGCUACAAGAAAUUUCACUUCUGCUGCAAUGAUUCUACUCAUGAUGCAGUUAACCCAAACAAAUAAAGAUAAAUUUGGACGGAGAUACUCCAAAGAGGAAAAAAUAUUUUCUCUAGCAUUUUAUAAGAUGGGUCCUAGAGCAUACAGAUGGCUACGGAACAUGAUAGUUUUACCUGCCCCAGUAACAUUAAGUCGCAUGAUUUCAAGAGCAAAUUUAAAACCAGGUGUGAAU